GUAGCGGCGAGCGAAAUUGGACUAGCCCUUAAGCUUUACACGCGUUAGACGAACGGUCUGGAAAGUCCGACGAUACAGGGUGAUAGUCCCGUAGUUGACGACGUGUGUUCAGUGAAAUCGAGUAGGGCGGGACACGUGAUAUCCUGUCUGAAUAUGGGGGGACCAUCCUCCAAGGCUAAAUACUACUGACUGACCGAUAGUGAACCAGUACCGUGAGGGAAAGGCGAAAAGAACCCCUGUGAGGGGAGUGAAAUAGAACCUGAAACCGUGUACGUACAAGCAGUAGGAGCAGGCUUUGUCCUGUGACUGCGUACCUUUUGUAUAAUGGGUCAGCGACUUAUAUUCAGUGGCAAGGUUAACCAUCUAGGGGAGCCGUAGGGAAACCGAGUCUUAACUGGGCGUUCAGUCUCUGGAUAUAGACCCGAAACCAGGUGAUCUAGCCAUGGGCAGGUUGAAGGUUGAGUAACAUCAACUGGAGGACCGAACCGACUAAUGUUGAAAAAUUAGCGGAUGACUUGUGGCUAGGGGUGAAAGGCCAAUCAAACCUGGAGAUAGCUGGUUCUCCCCGAAAGCUAUUUAGGUAGCGCCUCGGACGAAUACUACUGGGGGUAGAGCACUGUUAAGGCUAGGGGGUCAUCCCGACUUACCAACCCUUUGCAAACUCCGAAUACCAGUAAGUACUAUCCGGGAGACACACGGCGGGUGCUAACGUCCGUCGUGGAGAGGGAAACAACCCAGACCGCCAGCUAAGGUCCCAAAUUACUACUAAGUGGGAAACGAUGUGGGAAGGCUCAGACAGCCAGGAUGUUGGCUUAGAAGCAGCCAUCAUUUAAAGAAAGCGUAAUAGCUCACUGGUCGAGUCGGCCUGCGCGGAAGAUGUAACGGGGCUAAGUA
rnacentral:rRNA from 1 species